CAGUAGCCGCGGGAAAACGAAGGGUGCAAGCGUUACUCGGAAUUACUGGGCGUAAAGCGUGCGUAGGUGGUGGUUUAAGUCCGUUGUGAAAGCCCUGGGCUCAACCUGGGAAUUGCAGUGGAUACUGGGUCACUAGAGUGUGGUAGAGGAUAGUGGAAUUUCCGGUGUAGCAGUGAAAUGCGUAGAGAUCGGAAGGAACAUCUGUGGCGAAGGCGACUAUCUGGGCCAACACUGACACUGAGGCACGAAAGCGUGGGGAGCAAACAGGAUUAGAGACCCCUGUAGUCCCUGUCUCUUAUAC
rnacentral:rRNA from 1 species